rnacentral:rRNA from 1 species
UACGUAGGGUGCGAGCGUUGUCCGGAAUUAUUGGGCGUGAAGAGCUCGUAGGCGGUGUGUCGCGUGGGUCGUGAAAACUUGGGGCUUAACCCUGAGCUUGCGGUCGAUACGGGCAUCACUGGAGUUCGGCAGGGGAGACUGGAAUUCCUGGUGUAGCGGUGAAAUGCGCAGAUAUCAGGAGGAACACCGGUGGCGAAGGCGGGUCUCUGGGCUGACACUGACGCUCAUGCACGAAAGCGUGGGGAGCAAACAGG